rnacentral:rRNA from 1 species
GGAUUAGAUACCCUGGUAGUCCACGCCGUAAACGAUGAACACUAGGUGUUGCGGGUAUUGACCCCUGCAGUGCCGACGCUAACGCAUUAAGUGUUCCGCCUGGGGACUACGGCCGCAAGGCUAAAACUCAAAGGAAUUGACGGGGGCCCGCACAAGCGGUGGAGUAUGUGGUUUAAUUCGACGACGCGCAGAACCUUACCCGGGCUUGACAUCGAGGGAAAGCUCUUAGAAAUAAGAGCCCUCUUCUUCGGAAGACCCAAAGACAGGUGCUGCAUGGCUGUCGUCAGCUCGUGCCG